GGUGAAUUUUGUGAACUUGCCUA
rnacentral:siRNA from 1 species